AGCGUGGACAGGAGGCCUCCAAGGACAGUGCUGAAGCCAUUUCAGGCAGCAGCCUCUAAUGAUGGCACUGAUGGCACGUUGACUAAAACACCUCUAUUUGCUGCAGCUUCCCAGAGAGGUUUGGUUGGAAGAACAGCUUUGCCAUAGCAAUCACACCAGGAGGGUUCCUCACCUUAUCAGCUGAACGAGUUCCCUGAAAAUCAGACCAAAGAUCAUGCAAGAGGAGUUUUUUAUUGUUGCUGUAGUAAGUUUUUAAAGUAUUUUAUAUAGUCUAUGGGCCCACACAAAGAAAUAUU
rnacentral:lncRNA from 1 species